rnacentral:lncRNA from 1 species
AGCCUGUUGCCAGGUAUGCCGGUGCUCAAAUCAAAAAGGUUAACCAUUCUUCCCAGACAUCCAACAACAUGUUUAUCUACAUUUAUAUUCUGAGCUUUUGUACUCUGAAUCCCAUUCAUUUCGACACCUACAUUGACAGUCAUACGUAAUUAACAAAGAGAAAAUCAAAACAAGGAAGUUCAGUUUAGAAGUACUAAAAUUUACUUAAAAUUAACCAAAACUCUCGACUUGAAGCUAACCAAAACUGAGUAAAACGCCAAAACUUUCAGAACCGUAAGACACACAGAUGCCAAGCGAACAACUAAUAUAGCACUUCAAACAUAAGCUGUAAGUUCAGUGCAAAUAAUAAGACAAUCAACUCAAAACAAAAAAAGGCCUUGAUUUGAGUGAAAAGGAAAACAAGAAAAGAGGAAUAUUUUAAAGAGAGACGAAUAGCUGAAUCAGUGAGGGUGAAAAUUCAAGAGACAUUCUCAGAUGAUGCAUCACAUCAAUAUAUAUAUAUAUAUAUAUAUAUAUUCUAAUAGCUCUCUCAAUUACACCAAAAUUACUUCGUUUAUUGAAAUUGCACUGAUCGAAAUAAAACCGGCACCUGCAUUUUUUCUAUUCAAAUAAAAAAAAAAACUGUAAAAUCACUAUCAAAAAGCUGAUAAAAAAGCUAUAAUUUCAACAAAAAGUUAGAAGUUAUUGCAAAAAUGCAAAUUAAAAGUUUCUUUUUUAAAAAAUAGAGUGCACCGAAGCGAAAAGUGUAACUCUGUAUUUAAAAAAAAAACCUGCAAAUACAGCAGAAGAAAAGCAAAUCUUCAAGAUUCGAUUUGCAGUUUAAGACUGAAACACUGCAAAAAAACGGUACCUUUAGGAUGACGCGGAACUAGAGAGAGUAGAGUCGCGAACUGUCAUUACGCGUG